rnacentral:rRNA from 1 species
CCAGACUCCUACGGGAGGCAGCAGUGGGGAAUAUUGCACAAUGGGGGAAACCCUGAUGCAGCGACGCCGCGUGAAGGAAGAAGUAUCUCGGUAUGUAAACUUCUAUCAGCAGGGAAGAAAACAGACGGUACCUGACUAAGAAGCCCCGGCUAACUACGUGCCAGCAGCCGCGGUAAUACGUAGGGAGCAAGCGUUAUCCGGAAUUAUUGGGUGUAAAGGGUGCGUAGACGGGACAGCAAGUUAGUUGUGAAAGCCCUCGGCUUAACUGAGGAACUGCAACUAAAACUAUUGUUCUUGAGUGCAGGAGAGGAAAGCGGAAUUCCUAGUGUAGCGGUGAAAUGCGUAGAUAUUAGGAGGAACACCAGUGGCGAAGGCGGCCUGCUGGACGAUGACUGACGUUGAGGCUCGAAAGCGUGGGGAGCAAACAGGAUUAGAUACCCGUGUAG